AGUGUCUCAGUUGACUUCCUGUUGUCUGCAAGAUGUAGGACUCUCAGCUAUUUCUCCAGGACCAUGUCUACUCCCUAUCAUGCCACCAAGCUCCCUAUCAUGAUGAUAACGGACUGAACCUCUGAAAUAUUUUCUUUAUAAGAGUUGCCAUGGUCAUGGUGUAUCUUCCUGGCAAUAAAAACCCUAAGACAGCUGGUGUUUCAAGUCAGUGGGGGAUGAGCUACAGGCCCGUCAUAUCUCUGGCAUAAUAUAAUGUUGCAGAUCCAUGAAGUUCUGGCCUCAACAUGCAAUAAGCACACAUAGAAAAUGUUUAACCCCUUACCUCCCAGGACAACAGUCUGUGGCAAAUAGAGAAGACUGAACCUGUGACUGGUAUCUACCCCUUUCUAACUUAACAUUUUGAUUUGCCAAUAGGGCUCUUCUCCAGAGAUGUGGGGAUAGGCAAGAAACGGCUGAGUACUGGCCAAAGGCAGGAGAUGAAGACUAGGUAAAAGAUGCUUGCCUGAGAGGACUCACCAGUGUGUGAAACAUCUAUGUUUUGCUCCGAGAAGCCUGACUUUCACCCUCUAAGCAGGCCUCAGGAGCACGAGGGGACCUAGCUCACCUGAUCUGUCCAAAAGGAACACCACAAGCAAGGUUUUAAAGCUUGUUGUCCAGUUACCACAAGGUUCUUAUUCCUCACAGCACCACUAACAGGGUUUCUUGAACAAGCAUGUCCUGCCAGGGGCACAAGGGUGUGAGCGGAGUUUAUGAAGGUCUCCUGGCUAUCGUCCACCUGGUGGUGUCGUCUGCAGACAAAUGUUUGGACUGAACUUCACCCUCACACAAUGAGGAAACAUGUUUUAAAGGCCUCACUUGUCAAAAGAACGUUAUAAAACAGACUUAACAAGGCUCCCAGACACAGUUGGCUCCGGGAUUGGCUGCAGUGGAACACUUAUCCUCCCAGCACCAAAUGAAUAUGGUAGCAAUUCCCAUGUUACAGAAACAUACAGCAUGCAGCAUUAGUUGGAAGUAACACCACUGUGCAGAGAGCCGAUCAGCGUUUCUUCUCAGAGCCAGCACUGGUAGCCAAACUCAAGGCCUCUGACUUC